AGAGUUUGAUCAUGGCUCAGAUUGAACGCUGGCGGCAUGCCUUACACAUGCAAGUCGAACGGCAGCACGGGGGCAACCCUGGUGGCGAGUGGCGAACGGGUGAGUAAUACAUCGGAACGUGUCCUGUAGUGGGGGAUAGCCCGGCGAAAGCCGGAUUAAUACCGCAUACGCUCUACGGAGGAAAGGGGGGGAUCUUAGGACCUCCCGCUACAGGGGCGGCCGAUGGCAGAUUAGCUAGUUGGUGGGGUAAAGGCCUACCAAGGCGACGAUCUGUAGCUGGUCUGAGAGGACGACCAGCCACACUGGGACUGAGACACGGCCCAGACUCCUACGGGAGGCAGCAGUGGGGAAUUUUGGACAAUGGGGGAAACCCUGAUCCAGCAAUGCCGCGUGUGUGAAGAAGGCCUUCGGGUUGUAAAGCACUUUUGUCCGGAAAGAAAUCCUUCGAGUUAAUACCUUGGGGGGAUGACGGUACCGGAAGAAUAAGCACCGGCUAACUACGUGCCAGCAGCCGCGGUAAUACGUAGGGUGCAAGCGUUAAUCGGAAUUACUGGGCGUAAAGCGUGCGCAGGCGGUUCGCUAAGACAGAUGUGAAAUCCCCGGGCUUAACCUGGGAACUGCAUUUGUGACUGGCGGGCUAGAGUAUGGCAGAGGGGGGUAGAAUUCCACGUGUAGCAGUGAAAUGCGUAGAGAUGUGGAGGAAUACCGAUGGCGAAGGCAGCCCCCUGGGCCAAUACUGACGCUCAUGCACGAAAGCGUGGGGAGCAAACAGGAUUAGAUACCCNNGUAGUCC
rnacentral:rRNA from 1 species